CACCAGUCGUGCCUGUGAGGGAGGUGAGACCAAGAGCAGGGCCUCCCCAGACAAUCUUAAUCUCCUAGAUGAUUCAUAGAGGGAGAUGCGUUCAGACAGGUAAGCUGGACCGGAACUGUUUAGGGCUUUAUAGGCUAAAGCCAGCACUUUGAAUUGUGCUUGGUAGCACACUGGCAGCCAAUGGAGCUGAUGUAACAGGGGGGCUGUAUGUUCCCUGUUUGCCGGUGUAGACUCCAUCUACAUUCAGGUCCUUUCACACUACACAGUUACAGUACUACAGUAUAUGGUUUUACCUAUCAUGGAAUCUUGGUUUGUAGUUUGGUAUAAAUUGUAAGUCCAAGACUUCCAUAAAAUGGAACCAUGGCAGUUAAAGUAAAAACUUAAUAUUUGUGUCGUACAAAACAGCUCUCAGCUCUUAGUGUUAACCGACUGUAUGUCAGUGCAAACCACAAGAGGCGUAUGCUUACGUGUUCAUGCGAGGGGAGUGCCAGGUGGGGUUUGUUGUGUAGGAGGCAGAUGGGAGCAGGGGUCAAAAAAACAAUGAUUCCAUGAAACUUUGCAUAAAAUCUUACCACAAAAUGGGCAGGGGUGUGUGUAUGCUCCAUGUUAAACAUAGAUAAAGUAUCAAAGGGCAAAGAAAGAAGAAAACAACAAGCUAUCAGAGAAGAACCUGGCACAGAUUUCCUUUUUAUAGAUUGCAUUUGAUUCACAUCAAACAGAAGACACCUUUGUUCCUAAUAGGGCUGUGCGUCAGUAAAUAGAGGGCUCUGCUUCCAAAAAGCAGAAGAUAAAUAGACGGGAAGCUCUGUAUGAUGACGACGACAAGCAAGCCCUUGAUCCCACCCUGAGCUCAGGUAUUCCCAAUUUGGAUCUAGUUUUGUUGGCCCUCAAGACCAAAACAACAAAUUUUGCUUUCAAUAUCAAUCCCAAGUGGUUUUAGCUGUGGAUAAGAUCGGCUAAAGCCAUUUUAAGGGACCACAUGUGCAUACAGCAUAUUGCAUCGAGACAUCAGAAAUGGAGAAGAGGUGUACUUCAAUGGCAGUGCAUAUGCUUUGCAGGCAAAAAAUCCCAGGUGGAGCCCUCAACAUAUUCUUGACCAGUAAGACAUUAAUUAUCUACUCUGGAUUGACGCUGGACUGACUGACUGACUACGACCCUGGACUAUCCCUUCUGUGGCUAUCGGUGGAACUUGUGGACGUCUGCACUUGGCUUUCGACCUUGGACCGGAUUGGGACCCAUGCUGACCGUCGUUACCCUGAUUGAUGUGCCUGGACCCGGAUUUCGCUCGUUGCACGGAGGAGUAAACAGCCUGAGUUACUCAUCUGUAGCUUUUGAGUAGCAGAGAGGAAUCUGCUGCCAGUUUUUUGUGUUCAUUUUGACCUCUGUUUUCCAACUUUUGUUUGUUUAAAUUGUCAGGCUGAAGUAAGCACUUUUGCUUUAAUCCGGAUUAAACUCCUGUUUAAUCCGGUUUAUCCUUUGGAACCGUUUUAAUUCAAACGGAGCUGUUUCUGUUACUUUUCACACUGAAGACAAGUGUUUGCCUAGUCCUUUGCUUCCUACGGGCAUUUCUCAGUUCUGUAACUUUAAUAAACUGUGUUGUACUCUA